rnacentral:rRNA from 1 species
CAGUAGCCACGGUAAUACGUAGGUGGCAAGCGUUGUCCGGAAUUAUUGGGCGUAAAGGGCUCGCAGGCGGUUUCUUAAGUCUGAUGUGAAAGCCCCCGGCUCAACCGGGGAGGGUCAUUUGAAACUGGGAAACUUGAGUGCAGAAGAGGAGAGUGGAAUUCCACGUGUAGCGGUGAAAUGCGUAGAGAUGUGGAGGAACACCAGUGGCGAAGGCGACUCUCUGGUCUGUAACUGACGCUGAGGAGCGAAAGCGUGGGGAGCGAACAGGAUUAGAUACCCCAGUAGUCCCUGUCUCUUAUAC